CUCCACAAUCCCAAAAUGCAAAAGACACCCUCUAAUCAGAGAUCAUUCCUCUGCUUCCACUCUCAGAUCUACUCCAACAUGAGAAACAACAGAUGAACACGUCAGAAACAGUGUGUGUGUGUGUGUGUGACUGUGUGUGUGUGUGUCAGAGACAGGCCUCCUGGGAAUGAAGUCGAUUGCAGUUUUAAUGACUCGUGUUAAGAAGCACACACAUCAGAAACAGUGUGUGUGUGACUUCUUGUGUUAAGAAGCACACAUUAGAAACGCUAAACACAAGAGCAUUGAACCAAAGAACAGUCCUAGCAGGAAAGAGAACAAAACUAAAACAAAAACCUACAAACUUUGACCUUUAGGGUUCGUGACCUUUGAACUUUGACCUUUAGGGUUUGACCUAAAGGCCUCUUUACGUACAGAAACUCCAGUCCCAUCUGCUCUUAAUAAACUCGGGGGGAAUAAAAGUUUGGUCAAUUAUUUCUGUUGUUACAAUGCUUGUAUUUUAUAUCGUUGGAAAGCCUGUUUAUUUACCUUUACAAUGAUGUCCAACUUGUAAGGAUCACACAUUUGUGGGAUGAGCAGCACAGAUGAUUAUGUGGGAAGCGGCCAAGUAAAGGUUGCCAUAAUUCUCUGCCCAUGUUAAAGAGUGUGUUCCAAUAUGUCCACAAUCUGGGACCCAUAGUGCCAGGGUCAUGAUGUCAUCACACACUACCUCCAGGUGUGGGAGUGGACCGGAUGGAAUGGCCUCAACCCAACUGAACACUUGUAGGAUCAGCUUGGGCGUGCUGUACGUGUUAGAGUGACCAACACAACCACACUGGCUGCACACACACACACACACACACACACUAGCUGACCUGUAUGUGUUAGUGACCAACACAACCACACUGGCUACACACACACACACACACACACACAACCACACUAGCUGCACACACACACACACACUAGCUGACCUGUAUGUGUUAGUGACCAACACAACCACGAUGGCUGACCUGUACGUGUUAGAGUGACCAACACAACCACACUGGCUACACACACACACACACACACACACACAACCACACUGGCUGACCUGUACGUGUUAGAGUGACCAACACAACCACACUAGCUGACCUGUAUGUUAGUGACCAACACAACCACACUGGCUACACACACACACACAACCACACUGGCUGACCUGUAUGUGUUAGUGACCAACACAACCACACUGGCUGCACACACACACACACACACACAACCACACUGGCUGACCUGUAUGUGUUAGUGACCAACACAACCACGAUGGCUGACCUGCAACGACUCCUGGUUGAGGAAUGGAGUGCCAUCCCACAGCAACAUGUGACCAGGUUGGUGACCAGCAUGAGGAGGAGGUGCCAGGCUGUUGUGGCAGCGUAUGGAUCUUCCACCCGCUACUGAGGCUCCUGACGGUGUAUUAAAUGAAUAAAGUGUAAAAUUGCCAAUAUGUCUUUUUUGUUCCUUGUUACUGAUCAUGAGUUCAAUCAUCCAAUCCACCAAACAACUCAAAACAAGAGUGAAUACCAACAGGAGAAUACACUCUUUAACAUUGGCAGAGAAUUUUGGCAAUUACUUGGCCGCUACCCACAUAAUCAUCUGUGCUGCUCAUCCCACAAAUGCAUGAUCCUUACAAGCUGUACAUUUUUGUAAAGGUAAAUAAACAGGCUUUCCAACGAUAUAAAAUACAAUGCCAAUUAGCAUUGUAACAACAGAGGAAUAAUCGUCCAAACACAAACUUUUUUUCUCCGAGUUUAUAUCACAAACAGCCUUCCUACACAUCUAUUCUUUGUGUUAAUGUCACAAACAGCCUUCCUAUACAAAACCUAAGAAAUGAAAGCGUACGUGUAAGUGUAGAUGGAUGCUGCCCCCUUUUCACGUGGUCCGCCUGAACGUUCCUCUUCCCCUCAGAGUAACAAACCUCUGGCCGUAAACGCUUCUCCUGACUAACACCAGUUACCCAACAUCUGGUUAAAAAAAAAUGAAUUAAAAAAUAAAACACGUCAUGUUUCUCCUGACUAACGAGUGACCCAUCAUAGGAAAAACACACACAUCACUGCAGAUCCUUCUGAUGUCAUAAGGCCUCCACCAUAUUUGUGUACAUGGCAAAACAAAUAAACAAAAACAAGCACACACACCCCUUACUCAUAACAUCUUAAUGAAUCCACUGCUUCUUUAGCCGGUCAGGUCCUCAGCGCAGUGUUUUUAUCGGUCACUCUCUUCUCUUACACGUAGAAAGGGUUUUAUUCACACACACACACACACACACACACACACACACACACACACACACACACACACACACACACACACACACACACACACACACACACAACACACACACACAACACACACACACACACACACACACACACACACACACACACACACACACACACACACACACACACACACACACACACACACACACACACACGAUGGGUUAAGGCUGCCUCUGAACCCAACACAACCAGAAUUCACUUCCACAGCUUUUUUAGUGUUCAGGUGAAGCUGAUCUGGCAGCAGAGUUUGUAGGCCUGUAGAGUUGAGUAGAGUUUGUAGGCCUGCAGAGUUGAGUAGAGUUUGUAGGCCUGUAGAGUUUGUAGGCCUGUAGAGUUGAGCAGAGAUGAUUUCUCUUGGUACACAUGGUGGGGGCGGAGGGGUUGGACAUGCUGGCUCAGGUGAUAAAGCCACACCCUUCGUCAGUAAGUUCUUAGUAAACACAUAGAACAACCUGACCCGUGUGUGUGUGUGUGUGUGUGGCUAUCUAAGGGUAAAACACAAAUGAAACAAACUGACCGACACCAUGACAUCAGAAAGAUACCUUUUAGGAUUUUUUUUUUCUUUUUUAACAGAACGAAAACCUGACAGGCUAACCACAGCCACAGCUCUAUGAUAAGGACCCCCCCCAACCCCAGGGCUAUGACAAGAACGUUAUGACAAGAACGUGACUUUUGCGAAGCACAAAUGGCUGGAGGGAUUCCUAGUCCUGGUCGGCGGUUAAGAGCUGGAUCAGCAGUCAUCAACAGGCGGCCCCACACUGCGCCUCUGUGUGUGUGUGUGUGUGUGUGUGUGUGUGUGUGUCUGGAGAUCCGUCCUCUGUCUGUUUGUGUGUGUGUGUGGGGGUGUGUUUGUGUGAGUGGGGGUGUGUGUGUCUGGAGAUCCGUCCUCUAUCUGUUUGUGCGUGUCGGUGUGUGAGUGUCUGGCGAUCCGUACUCUGUGUGUGUGUGUGUGUGUGUGUCUGGCGAUCCGUCCUCUCUGUGUGUGUGUGUGUGUGUGUGUGUGUGUCUGGCGAUCCGUCCUCCCUGUGUGUGUGUCUGGAGGCCCAUCAGGUUGCCUUUGGACUGGGUGGGUUGGGGUUCUGCUUCGGCCUCCUCUUCUCUCUGGAGGGAAACAACCAACAUCAUCAUUAAAGCAUCUGAUCUAUCUUGGCCGAUCACUGCAUCUGAUCUAUCUUGGUCGAUCACCGAUCACUGCAUCUAAGUAGGUCAGACACAGACAGAGAGGGGUAGACACUGACGCAGACAGACAGACAGAGAGAGAGAGAGGUAGAGAGAGAGAGGGGUAGACACUGACGCAGACAGACAGACAGACAGACAGACAGACAGACAGACAGACAGAGAGAGAGAGAGAGAGAGAGAGAGAGAGAGAGGUAGACACUGACGCAGACAGACAGACAGACAGACAGACAGACAGACAGACAGACAGACAGACAGACAGACAGAGAACACAGCAGGACCACCACAAACAUGGCAGCAAGGCCUCCGCUCAGCACCACCAUCACAGCAGCACAGGGUGCAAACACAUGGGAAAAGCUAUGCUGAAGCCCUUACUGGAGCUCCAGACCCCAAUGACAUGAUGGACACC
ensembl:lncRNA